UAGGGAAUCUUCGGCAAUGGGGGGAACCCUGACCGAGCAACGCCGCGUGAGUGAAGAAGGUUUUCGGAUCGUAAAGCUCUGUUGUUAAGGAAGAACGAGUGUGAGAAUGGAAAGUUCAUGCUGUGACGGUACUUAACCAGAAAGGGACGGCUAACUACGUGCCAGCAGCCGCGGUAAUACGUAGGUCCCGAGCGUUGUCCGGAUUUAUUGGGCGUAAAGCGAGCGCAGGCGGUUAGAAAAGUCUGAAGUGAAAGGCAGUGGCUCAACCAUUGUAGGCUUUGGAAACUGUUUAACUUGAGUGCAGAAGGGGAGAGUGGAAUUCCAUGUGUAGCGGUGAAAAGCGUAGAUAUAUGGAGGAACACCGGUGGCGAAAGCGGCUCUCUGGUCUGUAACUGACGCUGAGGCUCGAAAGCGUGGGGAGCGAACAGG
rnacentral:rRNA from 1 species